UCCAACUGCUUUUCCUGGGGUAUUUGCAGGUGGUGGGAGAUGCUUUCUUAAAGAGGGGUCAUAACCUCAUGAACUUUCAGAUGUUGCAACAAAUUGGGGAACAAAACAUUUUUCCUUUUUCAAAUAUAUUAAGUAAAUCUUAGUACAUAGCAUUUUCAAGACAGAUGCAGCCCAACGGUUUUUCCUUUUUGCCAUUAUUUCCAGAUGUUAUCAAUUUUAAAGUCAGCGUUCCAUUUUAAGAACAGGAUCUAUAGGAAGGUGAUAUGUAAUCAGUAGAGUACUAUUUUGCCCUUUUUGGAGGUGUGUUCUGGUUCUACAUUUUGCCAUAAAAUGUGAGAUCAAACCAUAAAAUACAUCCCUGAAAAAAUGCAGACCUGAUCAAUCACUUGACUGAACUCUACUUGAAACACUUGGACUUUGGUCAAAUAAGCAUUUGCCACUUGAUUUGUA